UUUGCGGAAGCUCGCGUCGACAGCAUGUGCAAUAAUUAAAUUUCAUACGACGAGAAGAGUCACGUAUUUGUCCUUCACCUUCGUGGUAGCUUCUUAUAGCCAUGCCUGUCCUACAACUUUUAUAUACCAUACAAUAGGGCAUGCAACUAUUUGAAAUCGAUUUAAUGAGUUGUAACUCGGAAGUAAGAUUGGAUGAUGACUUUUUAACUGGAUAAUUCAUUUUAAUCAUGUAAUUGAAAUAUUUUAAGGUGAAAUUAUACGUUUGAAUAAAUCAUUUAAAGAGAAAUUAAAUUCAGUCAUUUUAAUAAAGAAUUUUAUUCAACAGAGAAUGCAUGAAUUGAAAUUCUUUGCAAAAAUAAGAGAAUUUUAAUUUCUUUGCAACUCCUCUCUACGGCCGGUCUCGUUUCACUAUCUCACAGUCACGAAAACCUUCAUUCAAAUCGUACACUCUCGAUGGCUAUUACCUCAUUCAGAUUGCAUACUCUCACAAUGGCUACGACCUCCGUUCUCUCUUGAUUCAGAUCGCACAUUUUCUUCAUACAAGGGAUAGAUCGUGAGAAUGUCUUUUGGCUUAUGUGGGGACUAUUUUUUUUUAAUGAAGCUUUUCAAAAUAUAUUGAUGUCUUAGGUUGUAUUCUGGAAUCAUUAAUUUUCAAAUUAUUCUCAUUUUUAUAUUUUUAAUGACACUGAUGAUGAUAAAAUAUAAAGAAGGUACUUUAUAUA